GAAUAGAGUAGCUGCAUCUCCUGAUCACUGCUCUCCCACACGAGCUGUAUUUGCAUCCAGAGCAGCCUCCAAGAGCCACACAAACAACAUUCAGCUACUGUAUGCAUCUUUGAAAAUAGUUGUGGGCCUGAUUCCAAAGCUGGCCUCUGCAGCCAAGAUUCCUGUUAAUACCCUGUCUCAGACACUUCAGACAGAAAAUAGAUUAAUACUCAAGUAGGAAAUCAAGCCUUUCCAAUAUGUCUCUGUGGAUCUCAAGUCCAGAUGGUGACCAGAGUCUCGGUUGCAAGUAUGCUUACAAGGAUAUGAAGACAUUGCUGGAUCAGGGAGCACAGUUCAGUAAGGAGCAGAAGACAAUGCACAAUGGGAAGCCC
rnacentral:lncRNA from 1 species